rnacentral:tRNA from 1 species
GUCAGAAUGGCCGAGUGGUCUAAGGCGCCAGAUUUAAGCUCUAGUUCUCGAAAGAGAGUGUGGGAUCGAACCCCGCUUCUGACA